GGCGCGCCGAAGUUACCUUGAUAAAUAUAUCAGGCCGACCAAAAUUAUGGAGUAUAGGCCUCCAAUAGAAAGAACUUCUGAGGACCACAACUGACCAACUGCUGGUAUUAUCAACAUGAUAUUCGACAUCCUAUAUGACAUUGAUGACCCAUCUUCCAAAGGGUAGAGAACUAAAGAUAUUAUUUUAUUUUCUGAGAAUAAUGUAAAGGGGAUCCAAAACCCUCAUAACGAUGCUAUCGUCAUC
rnacentral:lncRNA from 1 species